rnacentral:rRNA from 1 species
GACGAACGCUGGCGGCGUGCUUAACACAUGCAAGUCGAACGGAAAGGCCCCUUUGGGGGUACUCGAUUGGCGAACGGGUGAGUAACACGUCAGUAACCUGCCCUUUACUUCGGGAUAACUUCAGGAAACUGGGGCUAAUACCGGAUAGGAAUCCUUGCUCCAUGGAGGGUGUUGGAAAGCUUGGGCGGUUUUGGAUGGACUGGGGGCGUAUCAGCUUGUUGGUGGGGUGGUGGCUUAACAAGGCGUUGAGGUGUCGCCGGCCGGAGAGGACGAACGGCCACGUUGGGUCUGAGAGGCGGCAGAGACUCAUACGGGGGGAAGCAGUGGGGAAUAAUGCAGAAUGGGCGGAAGAGUGAUGAAGGAACGCCGCGUGCGAGAUGACGGUGUUCGGGUUGAAAACCGCUUUCAGCAGGGGAGAAGCUUUUGAGACGGUCUAUGCAGAAGAAGAAGGCGAUAACUGCG